rnacentral:rRNA from 1 species
UUCAGACGGGGACAACUCAGGGAAACUUGUGCUAAUACCCGAUGAGACCACAAGAAGGGAUUUUUGUGGCCAAAGGCGGGCAGCAAUGCUCGUGCUGAAAGAUGAGUCUGCGUCCUAUCAGCUAGUUGGUGGGGUAAAUGCCUACCAAGGGCUAAGACGGGGUAGCCGGCCUGAGAGGGUGAACGGCCACACUGGGACUGAGACACGGCCCAGACUCCUACGGGAGGCAGCAGUGAGGAAUUUUCCGCAAUGGGCGCAAGCCUGACGGAGCGACGCCGCGUGAGGGAUGAACCAGCUUUCGGGUUGUAAACCUCUUUUAUUAAGGAAAAAGAUCUAUAUGCUAAUAUCAUGUAGAUUUGAUGGUACUUAUUGAAUAAGCCCCGGCUAACUACGUGCCAGCAGCCGC